GACGAACGCUGGCGGCGUGCCUAACACAUGCAAGUCGAGCGGAGAUGAUGUGAGGAAGUUUUCGGAUGGAAUCACAUUAUUUUAGCGGCGGACGGGUGAGUAACGCGUGAGCGACCAACCUUGCACAGGGGGAUAACGGACCGAAAGGUUCACUAAUACCGCAUGAGACCACGGUGUUGCAUGACACAGAGGUCAAAGGAGGAAUCCGGUGCAAGACGGGCUCGCGUCCGAUUAGGUAGUUGGAGGGGUAACGGCCCACCAAGCCUAUGAUCGGUAGCCGACCUGAGAGGGUGAUCGGCCACAUUGGAACUGAGAUACGGUCCAAACUCCUACGGGAGGCAGCAGUGGGGAAUAUUGGGCAAUGGGGGAAACCCUGACCCAGCAACGCCGCGUGAAGGAA
rnacentral:rRNA from 1 species